CAGAAGGAGUAUGUAAACUUCCUAAAAGCCAAAUUCAGCGUAUUUCCGUGGAUCAGUUUCCAAGAUCAAGAAAUACAGGGAAUGCUGAAGGACUUUGCCAGUAAAGCAGGUUGGGCAGAAAUAAGUCAUGUCCUGAGGGUUUUGUCGAGCUUUGGCUCGACAAAAUUUACUUAUUACAGGAACCAGACAAGAGCAAAGUCAAUGGGCAACAAGGAGAUUGAUGUGGAGGGACGUUCUUGAAAGUCCCUCCACAACUACCUGUGGAAGUGUUUUUUGCCACCAGCAAUUCCACUUGUGGACAUAGAGAGGGAACGCUUGACCUUA